rnacentral:ncRNA from 2 species
UACGUAGGGUGCAAGCGUUGUCCGGAAUUAUUGGGCGUAAAGAGCUCGUAGGCGGUUUGUCGCGUCUGCUGUGAAAACGCGGGGCUCAACUCCGCGCCUGCAGUGGGUACGGGCAGACUAGAGUGCAGUAGGGGAGACUGGAAUUCCUGGUGUAGCGGUGGAAUGCGCAGAUAUCAGGAGGAACACCGGUGGCGAAGGCGGGUCUCUGGGCUGUAACUGACGCUGAGGAGCGAAAGCGUGGGUAGCGAACAGG